UAGUCUUUGUCUUUGUAUCUUCUAACAACGAAACACUACUAA
rnacentral:sRNA from 1 species